rnacentral:rRNA from 1 species
GAUGAACGCUGGCGGCGUGCCUAAUACAUGCAAGUCGAGCGAACAGAUGAGGAGCUUGCUCCUCUGACGUUAGCGGCGGACGGGUGAGUAACACGUGGAUAACCUACCUAUAAGACGGGGAUAACUUCGGGAAACCGGAGCUAAUACCGGAUAAUAUAUUGAACCGCAUGGUUCAAUAGUGAAAGACGGUUUUGCCGUCACUUAUAGAUGGAUCCGCGCCGCAUUAGCUAGUUGGUAAGGUAACGGCUUACCAAGGCAACGAUGCGUAGCCGACCUGAGAGGGUGAUCGGCCACACUGGAACUGAGACACGGUCCAGACCCCUACGGGAGGCAGCAGUAGGGAAUCUUCCGCAAUGAGCGAAAGCCUGACGGAGCAACGCCGCGUGAGUGAUGAAGGUCUUCGGAUCGUAAAACUCUGUUAUUGGGGAAGAACAAAUGUGUAAGUAACUAUGCACGUCUUGACGGUACCUAAUCAGAAAGCCACGGCUAACUACGUG